rnacentral:rRNA from 1 species
GCAUACCAAAGCUAGCCCAAUUUAUUUUCCAACCCCCCCCCCCCACAAAACAAACAAAUCAUUUGCCACGUCCAGUAUAGGAGAUAAAAAAACACCCGCGCGCAAUAGCCUAUGUGUACUACAAAGGACCACUGAAAGAAAAAUUAGACCAUAAGCACAUCACAGCAGUGACCCCCCCACGUACCUUUUGCAUCAUGAUCUCACAAGCACACACAGAUAAAGUGAACUAAAACCUGCCCCCCCGAAUCCAGACGAUCUACCUCAGAGCAGUUACUCUUUACCCGUCCCUGUAGCAAAAGGGUGGGACGACUUCGAGGUAGCGGUGAAACGCCAAUCGAGCCUGGUGAUAGCUGGUUGCUCAUCAAAUGAAUCUAAGUUCAACUCUGGCCUCUUACGCAAACUCCAACUGCCUAACAAACACCCUAAGCCAGAAGCCAUACAAUAGAGGUACAGCUCCAUUGUAACCGGACACAGCCGCCCCUGGAGGCACAUCUCUUUCCCCCCCCUUCCCGUAGGCCCUUAAGCAGCCAGCAACCAUAAUCGCGUCAAAGCAAACAAAAAAUCAACACAAACCUAGACCCCCCUUCCCCACUAUCAAUUGAGCCACCCUAGGCCCAACCUAGGAGAACUACUGUAAGAACUAGUAAUAAGGCCACCACCUCUCCCGCACCCCUCUUCACCAGCACGGAUAACCCACUGGUAGUUAAUCAAGCUAAAACCACACUUGUCUACCCGACACAGGAGUGCCUUAAAGACAGGCCCACCGCUAUAAAAGGAACUCGGCAAACCCGCGCCCCAACUGUUUACCAAAAACAUAGCCUUUAGCCCACCAAGUAUUAAAGGUCCCGCCUGCCCAGUGAACCCACUUAAACGGCCGCGGUAUCCUAACCGUGCAAAGGUAGCGUAAUCACUUGUUCUCCAAAUAGGAACUAGUAUGAACGGCUAAAUGAGGGCCCAACUGUCUCCUUUAGCAAGCCAAUGAAACUGAUCUUUCAGUACAAAAGCUGAAAUAAACACAUAAGACGAGAAGACCCUGUGGAGCUUUAAACUACCACUAGACCACCCACCCCAAACUAGCCAGCAGUUUUAAGUUGGGGCGACUACGGGACCAAAAAAACACCCGCGAGCCAGGGCCCACAGCCCGCUACUGGCCCACAUGCCAAAAGCACAGUAACACUCGACCCAGCCAUCACUGAGCAACGAACCCAGUUACCCCAGGGAUAACAGCGCCAUCCUCUUAAAGAGUCCAUAUCGCCAAGAGGGCUUACGACCUCGAUGUUGGAUCGGGACACCCAGGCGGUGCAGCCGCUGCCAAAGGUUCGUUUGUUCAACGACUAACGUCCCACGUGAUCUGAGUUCAGACCGGAGUGAUCCAGGUCGGUUUCUAUCUAUGAAUGCCCUCUUCAGUACGAAAGGACCAAGAGGGCGGUGCCUCUGCCACCAGUACGCACUAACCACCCCGCUGACCACCAAUCAAGCAUCACCCCAAACCAAACCCCUAGACCAGGGGAAU